rnacentral:rRNA from 1 species
AUUGAACGCUGGCGGCAGGCCUAACACAUGCGAGUCGAGCGGAUGAAGGGAGCUUGCUCCUGGAUUCAGCGGCGGACGGGUGAGUAAUGCCUAGGAAUCUGCCUGGUAGUGGGGGAUAACGUCCGGAAACGGGCGCUAAUACCGCAUACGUCCUGAGGGAGAAAGUGGGGGAUCUUCGGACCUCACGCUAUCAGAUGAGCCUAGGUCGGAUUAGCUAGUUGGUGGGGUAAAGGCCUACCAAGGCGACGAUCCGUAACUGGACUGAGAGGAUGAUCAGUCACACUCGAACUGAGACACGGUCCAGACUCCUACGGGAUGCAGCAGUGGGGAAUAUUGGACAAUGGGCCAAAGCCUGAUCCAGCCAUGCCGCGUGUGUGGAGAAGGUCUUCUGAUUGUAAAGAACUUUAAGUCGGGAAGAACGGCAGUAAGUUAAUACCUUGCUGUUUUGACGGUACCAACAGAAUAAGCACCGGCUAACUUCGUG